rnacentral:lncRNA from 1 species
UACUACAUUUAAUUUCUACAAAUUGCUUUUAAAUAAUUUUAGACUCUUUUUCAACUAAGUCUUCUUGCAGCAUCAUCAAAACAAUUGUCUCCAAGAUUUACCAAUACUCCUUAUUGGUAACAAUCUCCCCCUUUUUGAUGAUGAUCAAAAAUACAAUUUUAAAAGCAACUUUGGCUAUCCUGCAAAAACAUACAAGCUAACAAACAACAACAGAGUUAACAAUACUUGUAUCAAUUUAGAUUUCUCCCCUUAUAUUAUUAUUCUCCCCC